UACGGAGGGUGCAAGCGUUAUCCGGAUUCACUGGGUUUAAAGGGUGCGUAGGCGGGCAGGUAAGUCAGUGGUGAAAUCUCCGGGCUUAGCCCGGAAACUGCCGUUGAUACUAUCUGUCUUGAAUAUCGUGGAGGUAAGCGGAAUAUGUCAUGUAGCGGUGAAAUGCUUAGAUAUGACAUAGAACACCCAUUGCGAAGGCAGCUUACUACACGAUCAUUGACGCUGAGGCACGAAAGCGUGGGGAUCAAACAGG
rnacentral:rRNA from 1 species